rnacentral:rRNA from 1 species
GUGAGUAGUUCAGAGUUUGAUCCUGGCUCAGGACGAACGCUGGCGGCGUGCCUAACACAUGCAAGUCGAGCGGAGACAGAUUUGAGCUUGCUUGAAUCUGUUUUAGCGGCUGACGGGUGAGUAACGCGUGAGCAACCUUUCUCUUAGUGGGGAAUAACACAGGGAAACUUGUACUAAUACCGCAUGAGACCACAAUGUCGCAUGGCAAAGGGGUCAAAGAUUAAUCGCUGAGAGGUGGGCUCGCGUCUGAUUAGAUAGUUGGUGGGGUAACGGCCUACCAAGUCGACGAUCAGUAGCCGACCUGAGAGGGUGAUCGGCCACAUUGGGACUGAGACACGGCCCAA